rnacentral:tRNA from 1 species
GGGCCGUUGGCUCAACUGGCAGAGCAACGGACUCUUAAUCCGUAGGUUGCAGGUUCGAGUCCUGCACGGCCCACCA